CGUCACAAAAACUGCCACAGCCAAGAGCCAUUUAUUUAAUUCUGUGCUCAUUGCUUUUUGCUGACAGGGCUGAUAGAAAAGCUGGGGCUAUUUUGCUGCUGUGUUUGCUGAUCAGCUGGUGAGAAGUGCAGAUGAUGGACAGUAUUCAGGUACAGCCAGCAGAUCUCCUAACACUGGAGAAAUCCUUUCUGUAAGAAGGUCGAUUGGUGGUUUCUGUGUCACAAGAUGAAUGCCAUUGUUUGGAUUAAUAAAAAGACCACUGAAUGACAGAGCUCUGCAAGCUUCAUGAAGGUUUGAAGUCUCAAAAUGAGGAAGUCUCCCUAAGCCUUUUCAUCUCUAUAAUAGAAAAAGAUUGGAAAAACUGCUA
rnacentral:lncRNA from 1 species